ACGGGAGGCAGCAGUGAGGAAUAUUGGUCAAUGGACGGAAGUCUGAACCAGCCAAGUAGCGUGCAGGAUGACGGCCCUAUGGGUUGUAAACUGCUUUUUUAGGGGAAUAAAGUUAGCCACGUGUGGUUAUUUGCAUGUACCCUACGAAUAAGGACCGGCUAAUUCCGUGCCAGCAGCCGCGGUAAUACGGAAGGUCCGGGCGUUAUCCGGAUUUAUUGGGUUUAAAGGGAGCGCAGGCCGUUUGGUAAGCGUGUUGUGAAAUGUCCGGGCUCAACCUGGGCACUGCAGCGCGAACUGCCAGACUUGAGUGCACAGGAAGCGGGCGGAAUUCGUGGUGUAGCGGUGAAAUGCUUAGAUAUCACGAAGAACUCCAAUUGCGAAGGCAGCUCGCUGUAGUGUUACUGACGCUAAAGCUCGAAAGUGCGGGUAUCGAACAGGAUUAGAUACCCUGGUA
rnacentral:rRNA from 1 species